GACGAACGCUGGCGGCGUGCCUAAUACAUGCAAGUAGAACGCUGAAGGAGGAGCUUGCUUCUCUGGAUGAGUUGCGAACGGGUGAGUAACGCGUAGGUAACCUGCCUGGUAGCGGGGGAAAACUAUUGGAAACGAUGGCUAUUACCCCAUAGAAGUAGAGGUGGAAUAACAUUUGCUAAAAGGUUGCAUUUGAUUCACUACCGGAGGACCCUGCGUGGUAUUAGCUAGUUGGUGGGGUAACGGCUCACCAAGGCGACGAUACAUAGCCGACCUGAGAGGGUGAUCGGCCACACUGGGACUGAGACACGGCCCAGACUCCUACGGGAGGCAGCAGUAGGGAAUCUUCGGCAAUGGACGGAAGUCUGACCGAGCAACGCCGCGUGAGUGAAGAAGGUUUUCGGAUCGUAAAGCUCUGUUGUAAGAGAAGAACGAGGGUGAGAGUGGAAAGUUCACACUGUGACGGUAUCUUACCAGAAAGGGACGGCUAACUACGUG
rnacentral:rRNA from 1 species